UGACCUCUGCAGGCUGGCCGGUCCCUAGGCUGGGCUGGGCUAGUAUCUCUUCCAAAGGCUCACCCUCAAGCACCAGUUGGAGC
rnacentral:pre_miRNA from 1 species